rnacentral:misc_RNA from 1 species
UUUCCGUAGGUGAACCUGCGGAAGGAUCAUUAAAAAAUUGGACUCCAUUGGUGAGUUCAUUAAUAAUCCCUACCCUUUGUGAAUUUGUUUGUUUGAAUAAUUUUUCUUCCAAAAAAAAAUUAUUGAAUGUCUUUCCCUGUUUUGGUGGAGCUUGUAAAGUGAAACCAGGCAGGGGAAUGGCAAACAAUAAUUAUUUUUUGAAAAAAGACCUUUUUUAAAAUUAAACUUUUUGUAUUCAUUUGUCUAAAAUUAUUUUUAUAAUAUAAAAACAACUUUUGACAAUGGAUCUCUUGGUUCUCGCAGCGAUGAAGAACGCAGCAAAAUGCGAUAAGUAGUGUGAAUUGCAGAAUACGUGAAUCAUCGAAUCUUCGAACGCAUAUUGCACUUUUUUAGUUUACUAAAAAAGUAUGUCUGUUUGAGUAUCAGUAAAAUAUUCUCAUAAAAAACAUUGUUUUUUUAUGGUUAUGAGUGUUUUACAACGAUAACAAGUUGUUUCACUUUAAAUUCUUUGUUAUCAAAAAAAUCAUUAAAAGCUAAUUUUAAAGAUUUUUUAAAAUUGGAUAAAAUUUUCCCGUAAAAAGGAAUAACCUAAACAAUUUUAAAAAUUAAAAUUGGUUUGAUUUUUUUUGAAACCCAAAGGAAAAAAAACGAAAUUAACUUGAUCUCAAAUCAGAUAAGAGUACCCGCUGAACUUAAGCAUAUCAAUAAGCGGAGGAAAAGAAACUAACUAGGAUUCCCUCAGUAACGGCGAGUGAAGCGGGAAGAGCUCAAAUUUGAAAUCUUCAAGGUUUUACCUUGACGAAUUGUAGUUUAAAGAAGUGUUUUCUGUUGGAGUUUUGGUAAAAGUUCUUUGGAAAAGGACAUCAUAGAGGGUGAGAAUCCCGUAUUUGACCAUUAUCUCCAGCUUUGUGAUACACUUUCAAAGAGUCGGAUUGUUUGGGAAUGCAGUCCAAAAUGGGUGGUAAAUUUCAUCUAAAGCUAAAUACUGGCGAGAGACCGAUAGCGAACAAGUACCGUGAGGGAAAGAUGAAAAGAACUUUGAAAAGAGAGUUAAACAGUACGUGAAAUUGUCAAAAGGGAAGCGUUUGACACCAGUGUUGUUUUCUCGAAAAUCAAUUAAAAAGAGCUGGAUUUGUGUUGUACUGACUUAUCAGCUUGCUUCACUUUUUCUUGCUUUUUUAAUGCACUUUUCGUUUAACAAGUCAACAUCAGUCUCUUUUGUUGUAAAAGGUAUGGAAGGUGGCUCAUCUUCGGAUAAGUGUUUAUAGCCUUUGCUUCUGCAAUCGGAGAGACUGAGGUCUGCAGCGUAGAUCCUUUUGGGUUAGAUACAUUUGUGCUAAGCUACAGCUUUUAUAGACAACUUGUUGACUAUGUUCAGUCUUGUACUUACUCGCUUAUGCUAUUUUACCUA